rnacentral:sRNA from 1 species
GAAAAUGAAAUUCUGAAUCUUGAGAAUACAAAAUUAAAGACUACACUUGCUGCUUUGAAGGAUGAAGUUGUAUCUGUUGAAAAUGAACUCUUAGAAUUGCAAGAAGUAGAAAAAAAACAGAAAACCCUUAUUGAAAUGUAUAAAACUCAGGUACAAAAGUUGCAAGAAGCAGCUGAAAUAGUUAAAGGCAGAUGUGAAAAUUUGCUACAUAAAAAUAACCAAAUAACAAAAACCAAAAAUAAAAAUGUAGAGAAGGUACGUUUGGAAUUUCAAAUAAAAUAAUAUUUUAUAUAUUUUUUACUUUAUGAAUAGUACACAAAUUCAUUCAUUUUGAUCAUUUUCUCUAGUUCAUACUUAGGAAAGUGCUAGUCUUAACCUCUGUAAGAGUUUGUUUUCCAAGGAAAUAAUGUUUCUUCCAGACUGGAAAUGUUGUUUGUUUAUGUGAAUGUUUUUUCACUUUUUUGUUAAUAUUUGGAAAAUAACAUAAAUGUUUAAUUUUUCUGAUGCAAGAGCAGACUUUAAAUAGCUCAAAAAAUGGUUACCAAUCAUAAGUAUACAAACCUAAGUAUCUCUCAUUUUUAAUCUCACCCUUUUUUUCUGGUUAUAAAUGUUUUACAUCUACAAAAGCAAAGCCAAUAUCUGCUAAAUGCAUUUUUGAAGAAAAAUAAUAUCUUUUAAAAAACGAUCAUUUCCUUUUAU